UUCGAGUCCACACAUGAGCUGAGAGUGAGAACGGCAAUUGACGCUGCGGCUUCACAUCACAGCGGCAUUUCGGCAGCUUGAGAUCAACUUUAGCAGCUAAUAACUGAUCGAAUUACUUCAUCUUCGUUCUCAGCCACUUCCGCCUCACAGUAAUUAUCAGAAUUUGAGAUUGUAAUCAAAAUCAUGAUAUAUGCGAAGACGUAUGGUCGUGGACAAGGCUGGUUCACAUAUUUAUCCUCCUCCAUCCCUACAUUUAGUCCUCGGAAGAAAAUGGAGAUCAAGGUAAGCGAAAUGACUUCCUCCGAUUCAAAUGCAAAGAAGGCAAAUUUAUAUGCUGCCAAAAAGGAAAGAGUUAAGCUUCCAACAUAUAGUGGUGGUCUGCAAGGCACAGGAUACCACUUUAGUGAAUUUCUAAGGCAUCCCAGUGGAAUAGAAGCAAUGUUGAACACGAGGGCCUUGCAAUCUUUUAAUUGUCUUGACGCAAACACUUACAGGUGUACUUUGCCUAAACUUCAACUUCUGAACUUUGAGGCCGUUCCUUUGCUGGAUCUGCGGGUAACGCCAACAAAUGAAGAUUGUGUCGUGGAGAUGCUUUCCUGUAAGUUUGAGGGUUCAGAAGUUGUGGAGCGCCAGAACAACCACUUCUCAGCAUUCAUGAUAAAUCACAUGACAUGGGGCAUGGAUGACGCUGAAUCAUUUCUAGAAGUUGAUGUUAAGUUGAAUAUCACUCUUGAGAUCUACACACGUCCAUUCACCAUGAUGCCUAAAGCAGCUGUUGAGCGUCCUGGAACUAUCUUCUUAUGCCUUCAAACACUUGUAUUUCUGUGUGGAUACGUGCAGAAUGAUGCAAGCAUUGGUAGACAAUCUCGUGCCACUACUAAUUCAGCAGCUGUUACGAGAUUAUGAUGAAUGGGUUCAAAAGCAAUUGAAAAAUAUCCCAUAAAUGAGGGUACUAAUCUCAUGAUAAACUGGGCAAGGCACCAUAUAUCCGCAAUCACCCAAAAGGUACAGUUCCCAUCACCUGACUACACAAACAUCACAUCUGGCUUCGCCGUUGGUCCAACUGGUCACCUUGUGCUAUGAUACUUGUUAAUCUUUCAUUCAUCAAUUCAGCCCAGAAAAGGUAACAUAUCACAUUUUUUUAACCUGGACGAACUGCAAGUAAAAUUUAAAUUUGCUUGUAACGCGAAAGAAAGCAUGUAUAGUAUACACUCCCGAAGACAGUGAUGUAUUUCGGCCGAAAACAAAGGACAAUAAUGUAAAUGUAUUGGGCUCUGAUAAGACUAAGAAAAGCUGUUCCCAUGACGAGCCCACACUUUGGUCUGGGCUUGACGGUCUGCCAGUUAUUUAUUGUCUCCGGUCCUUAAUAUAAGGUCUCGUUUGAUUUUUAUUUU